AGCGACAGAGGGUAGCUCAAACAGACAACGCCCUCGCCUUUUACUAGGGCGUUCCGUGGGCUGCCCUCAUCCUAAUGUCGCAUAGCCAAUUUUUCAGCUCUCAGCUUGACCUGAGUA
rfam:Rhizopogon vesiculosus strain AM-OR11-056 contig61714, whole genome shotgun sequence.